GGUUUGCGUGUCAUCUGUUGAUCCACCUACGUUUCUUGCUGCUGUAGAAGCUGGAGCUUCAAUGGUGGAGAUUGGGAACUACGAUUCAUUUUAUGAUGCGGGCAUAGUUUUUUCACCCGAACAGAUAUUGUACU